CUCCAGCUGUCCUCUCAGCGCUGCUCGCGAGGAGUGGAACAGAGGACGCGUCCGUCCCUGUGCCCUCGGCAAGAGAGGGACUGUGUGUGUAAAAAAGAGACGGAGCUGGAGCAUGGACAGACAGAGAGAGAGAGAGAGAGAGAGAGAGAGUGAGUGAGCGAAAGAGAGCGAGAGAGGGAGGAAAGGAGGGGGGAGAGGAGAGGAGGUACCACUGCAGACGCACAGCCACUGUCACAGCUCCACAGCCAGAGGACAGAGGCAGGAACGGCAGUGAACAGCAGCAGCACCAGAGAGCAUGGAGGAGCAAGACUCUAUCGUUCACCUGGACCUCUACCCUUCUCACUGACAACCUUCCUCUGGGAAUACCCCGUGACGAGUGGAGUAGAGAAGAGAAGAGGAGGGAGAUAGAGGACAAGGAGAGGACUCUCUCGAUCUGCCCUUCAGGAGAGGAAGCACCAGUCCCUUACUCUAGUGGGACAAAUCACACACUAUUCUUUUUUUGUUGCCUGUCGGACCUGUGUAAGUCUUGGGCUAUCUUUAAGCUGCGGUCACCCUCUCGACUGUGUGGACUUACGUUGACCCUGGAGAGGACCAUGGGGCUAGGGUGGAGGUGGAGGGGUGCAGGAGGGACCCCCAGCAUAAGGACAGGGGGAAGCACCUUCCUCUGGGUGACAGUACUUCUGCUCUGUGGUACCUGGAGGGCUAACACACAGAUGGUAGAGGACACCAAGUCUGUGUACUUCUGGGAAACAGGGCCAUGGGGCAGAUGUAUGGGCAGUGACUGUGGCCCAGGUGGCAGCCAGAGUCGGGCUGUGUGGUGUGCCCACGUGGACGGCUGGACCACCCUCCACACCAACUGUGACCAGUCCCAGCGGCCUUCCAACCAGCAGAACUGCUUCCGUGUGUGCGACUGGCACAAGGACCUUUACGACUGGAAACUGGGUGCCUGGAACCAGUGUGUGUCCGUGUCAACAAGAACCUUUGGGGGCUUGCGGCCAUACGUAUGCAAUGGGGGUGAGGAGGGCAUUCAGACCCGGGAGGUGGGCUGCGUACUAAAGUCAGACGAAUCUCUCGGAGACGACACCAUCUGUGAGUACUUUGAGCCCAAGCCUCGACUAGAGCAGGCCUGCCUCAUCCCCUGCCCUCAGGACUGUGUGGUGUCUGAAUUCACCCCCUGGACGUCCUGCUCAAAAACCUGUGGAACCGGCCUAAAGAACCGGGUGCGCAGUGUCCUUGUGCCUCCACUCUUCGGGGGUUCCGCCUGCCCAAACCUAACCGAGUUCCACACCUGUAAGCCAGGGCCUUGUAAGGGGCCUGAGGGGGUGUACAGCCUCAGGGUGGGGUCCUGGAUGCCCUGUUCUCUCCCCAUUUCCCGGCCGGUGCGGCAGGCCAAGCAUAGGAAGGGUAAAGGGGGGGCCAGGGAGAGGCCUGGGGUCAAAGACCCUGAUACUAGGGAGCUGAUCCAGAAGAAACGGACCAGGAACCGGCUCAACAGGCAGGAGAGCCCCUUCUGGGACAUCCAGGUGGGAUACCAGAGUCGCACGGUGUCCUGUGCACACAGGAACGGGAGCACGGUGGGACUCAGUCUGUGUCUACCCUGGGACCUCCCUCUGACGGUCCAGUCCUGCAUCCUUGCUAAGGACUGUAAGCUGAGCGAGUGGGCAGACUGGGGCCCCUGCUCCAAGGCCUGUCUAGACCCAGACCCUGAGUCCCCCAGGGGCCAACGCUCCAGGACCAGACGAGUGCACCAGUUCUCUGUGGGGGAGGGGGAGGACUGCCCACCGCUGGAGGAGACGGAGCCAUGUGACCCCCAGGGGGAUGGAGUACUGCCCUGCGCCACUUACACCUGGAGGACUACAGAGUGGAGCGACUGUAGAGUGGACUCGUUGCUAAGCCAACAGGACCGUCGGCGUAGCAACCAGACCGGCCUGUGUGGGGGAGGGCUCCAGAAUCGAGAGGUGUACUGUGUCCAGGCCAACGCCGAACUACUGGCCUACCUCAACAACCUCAAAGACAAAGAUGAGGGUCAGACCUCAAACCAGCAGAAGCCUAGUGUUCCCCCUCUUCUAUCCAUCAGCUUUGAAGUUACAGCAUCCCGUCCUGUGGACAGCAAGCUGUGCGGGGGUCCCGUCCCCAACACGUCCCAGCUGUGUCACAUCCUCUGUCCCAUCGAGUGUGAAGUGUCCCCAUGGGGGGCCUGGGGACCCUGCACCUAUGAGAACUGUGACGUCCAAGAAGGGAAGAAAGGUUUUAAACUGAGGAAACGGGAGAUCAGCAAUGAGCCAACAGGUGGACCAGGGAACUGUCCUCACCUGGUUGAGGCUGUCCCAUGUGACGAACCCAGCUGCUGGGACUGGCGCCUGGUCAGACUGGAUGAGUGUAUCCCGGACGGGGAGCUGCCGUGUGGCCCCGGGACACAGAUACCUCAGGUCCAGUGUGUCAACAGCACUGGUGACAUGGUGGACAAGGAGCUGUGUGGGGGAGCCUCUGCCCCUGAGCCCAUCGCCUGUGAUGUGCCUUGCCCUAAGGACUGUGUCCUCAGCGACUGGACCUCCUGGUCCUCCUGCUCCCAAACCUGUUCCAGCAAAACCAUCGAGGGCAAGCAGCUGAGGACUCGCUCCAUACUGGCCUACAACGCUGGCGAAGGUGGUGGCAUGUGCCCCAACAGCAGUUCCCUGCAGGAGGUACGUAACUGCAACGAGCAUGCAUGUACGGUGUACCACUGGCAGACUGGCCCCUGGGGCACCUGUACUGAAGACCCCUCAGCCUCAGCCCUCAACACCACCACUGGCCCCAGGUCUGCUGCCGGCCCCAACAGCAGUGGGCAGGGCCCCUGCUCCCGGGGCAUGCAGACACGCAAGGUCAUCUGUGUCCGGGUCAACGUGGGACAGGUGCCACCCAAGAAAUGUCCUGAGAGUCCUCGUCCAGGUACAGUGCGACCCUGUCGAAUGCCCUGUAAGAGGGACUGCAUCAUCACCCCCUUCAGCGACUGGUCCCAGUGCUCUCCCACCUGUGAUGCAGCUGGUAACAUUCAGAAGACGAAGCAAUCAAGAAACCGCGUCAUCCUCCAGCUGCCAGCCAACGGGGGCCAAGACUGUCCUGAGGUGCUGGAGGAGGAGAAGGACUGCGAGGCUCCUAAAGUCUGCCCUGGUUACAGGUGGAAGUCACACAAAUGGAGAAGGUGUCAAUUGGUGCCAUGGAACAUCAGGGAGGACAGCCCAGGGGCUCAGGAGACAUGUGGACCAGGUCUUCAAACAAGAGCCGUGUCCUGUCGCCAGCUGGACGGAGUGCAGGCAGACAUUGGAGAGUGUCUGAAGUUUGCCAACACCAUGCCCCCCAUCACUCAGCGGUGCCAGCUUCCAUGCCAGGAUGAUUGCCAGCUCACCAACUGGUCCAAAUACUCGUCCUGCACAGCCGACUGUGUGGGGGUCCGGACCAGGAAGAGGCUACUUGUAGGGAGAAGCAAGAAGAAGGACAAGUGUAAGAACACCCAGAUGUACCCUCUGAGCGAGACCCAGUACUGCCCGUGUGACAAGUACAAUGCCCAGCCCGUGGGCAACUGGUCCGACUGCAUCCUGGCCGGGGGAGACCGGGUGGAGAGCCUCCUGGGCAUGAAGGUCCAGGGGAACAUCAAGGAGUGUGGCCAGGGCUACCGCUACCAGGCCAUGGUGUGUUACGACCAGGACAACAGACUGGUGGAAACCUCACGAUGCAACAGCCACGGCUACAUUGAGGAGGCAUGCAUCAUCCCCUGUCCGUCAGACUGUAAGCUCAGCGAGUGGUCCAACUGGUCCCGCUGCAGCAAGUCAUGUGGUAGCGGGGUCAAAGUGCGUUCCAAGUGGCUCCGGGAGAAACCCUACAACGGAGGGCGACCCUGCCCCAAACUGGACCACAUCAACCAGGCCCAGGUGUAUGAGGUUGUGCCAUGUAUUAGUGACUGUAGUCAGUAUGUGUGGGUGGCUGAACCCUGGAGUGUAUGGAAGGUCAGCAACUUGGACCUGAAGGAGAACUGUGGAGAGGGAGUCCAGACCCGCAAAGUCAGGUGUAUGCUGAACACUAUUGACGGUCCAUCUGAGUCUGUGGAGGACUACCUGUGUGACCCGGAGGACAUGCCCUUGGGGACGCGGGGAAGCCGGCUGCCCUGCCCCGAGGACUGUGUCCUCUCUGACUGGAGCAGCUGGAACCGCUGCAGCCUGCCAUGCAGCUACAACAACAGCAGGAAACGGACAGCCUACGCCAUCCGGUCACCUGGAGAAGGGAGACAAUGUCCGGACACCACAGAGAAGGAGCCAUGUAGUCUGAACCUGAACUGCUUUCACUAUUUCUACAACAUCACAGACUGGAGCACAUGUCAGCUAAGUGCCAAUGCUGUGUGUGGGAAUGGCAUCAAGACGCGGAUGCUGGACUGUGUACGCAGCGACGGCAAGUCUGUCGACCUCAAGUUCUGUAAGGAGCUGAGCCUGGAGAGGAAGUGGCAAAUGAACAUUUCCUGUGUGGUGGAGUGUCCCGUCAACUGCCAGCUGUCUGAUUGGUCGGCCUGGUCAGAAUGCUCGCACACGUGUGGACUGGAUGGGAGGAUGUGGCGUAGCAGGGGGGUGGUGCAGGGGUCCCAGGGAGACGGGCGUCCCUGUCCCUCUCAGCUGGAGCAGUGGAAACCUUGUCCUGUCAGACCCUGUUACAGGUGGCAGUACAGUCCCUGGUCUGAGUGCAGGGUGGAGGAGGUGGUAUGUGGAGCGGGACUUCGCUACCGGAACCUGACGUGCUUCGUGUCGGACGGCUCCGGAGAAGGAGAGGCCAGCAUGGUGGAGGAGGAGCUGUGUGGGGGUCUGGAGCUGGCUGUCAACAGAGACAAGCUGAUCAUACUGAAGGAAACCUGUGUUCUGCCCUGUCCAGGUGAAUGCUACCUGAUGGAGUGGUCUGACUGGAGCCCGUGUCUGAGUGUGUGUGCCAAAGGGGCCGGUGUGGACUUUGGCUCUGUCCAGGUGCGCUCGCGAGCCGUCAUGGCCCAGGAGCCCGAGAAUGUCCAGCUGUGUCCUGACCAGGAUUGGGAGUCCCGACCUUGCACUGAUGGGGAGUGUUUUGAGUACAAGUGGAUGAGCAGCACAUGGUUAGGCUCCUCUCGCGUCACCUGGUGUCAGCGCUCUGAUGGACUCAACGUCACAGGAGGAUGCCCCCAUAUCAAUCCUCCAGGGGACGACAACAACUCCUGUGACCCGCCGUGUCAAUUGCCAAUGUCCUUCUGCACUGAGGCUGGCGUGUGUAUGUGCGAGGAGGGCUACACAGAGGUGAUGUCCUCCAGUGGCCAGCUGGACCACUGCACCCCCAUACCCAUUCUGGAGAUCCCCACAGCCGGGGACAAGAAGACUGAUGUGAAGACCAGCCGUGCCAUCAACCCCACCUUGCCUGCCACCAUACAGCCUGGACGCACCGGACGCACCUGGUACCUGCAGCCCUUUGGACCAGAUGGCAAGCUGAAGAUGUGGGUAUAUGGUGUAGCAGCGGGAGCCCUGGUACUGCUCAUGUUCAUAGUGUCUCUGAUAUACCUAGCUUGCAGUUACAGUGUCCUCCGCCGCCGUCUUCAGGCCACUGAGUCCAACGCCAAUGGGACGGUGGUCUGGAUGGGUCAAAAUGCACAUGAGUUGACUUAUACCUGCCCCGAUUGCCAAGAGUUGGGCCAAAGCAGUGGCCAAAGCAGCGGCCAAAGCAGCGGCCAAAGCAGCGGCCAAAGCAGCGGCCAAAGCAGCGGCCAAAGCAGCGGCUAAAGCAGCGGCUAAAGAGGAAAAAGAGGCAGCUCUACAAGUAGCUGCAGUGCCAAUCAUUGACCCCUGACCUGUGACCCCUCCACCAAUGUCACAUGACAUGUCCCACUUGACCAGCUGUGUGAAGUUGCUAGUGCAGCAAAAAGCCAAAGAAACCAAAGAGACAGAGGCAAAUGAACAACCGAUUGAAACCUCUCACCCUAGCCUAUGAUGGGGACGCUGACAUGUAGGACUCUGGGGUAGCCUAGCCCUCCAGAGACCUGCCCCACCUGCCGUAAAAACAAAGAGACAUAUCCCAUCAUAGGAAGGACAGGGAUGUUUUCAUCUUGCAGAUCAGAAGAAGAAGACCAACGGCCAUCUUGAAUCCAUUUUGGGUCCUCAUGUGUUAAUUGGAGAUUGGAAUUGAGGAAACAUUUCUCCACUUAGACAUAUUUGGGUUUAGUCCAUUUCAAGCAGCAGUUCUCCUUUUCCAUUUUCUUUUGUGAUGUUUCCUUAAACAAAAGCCUUCACAGCCUCCACUCACUACGAGGAAUAUGCCUUUUUUUUGUUUGCCCAUUUUUUUGCUUUCAAAUGGAAGGGCUGCUGCAAAGAGACAAACUUUUCUGUCUUUGAACACAAACAGCACAAGCUCAUUUCUUUGCUGUGUUUUUCUGCUCGUCACUGAAACGUUGAGUAGCUGGAGGCUUAGGAUGCACUGGCGGUUCGCACGUUGCCAAAAGUCACCGCAGGGAAGGGGAGGAAAAUCUCCAUGAAAAGGCUUGGAUUCAUUUCCUUUCUGGAUUUUGACUGAAAUCUCCUUCGGUCGCAAACAAAGAGAUACUUUUGGUUUCCGGUUGAUUCCUAGACAGAGGCCUAUCUUGAAGGAUAAACAUAUACAGACCGAGAACACAAGAUGAGAAACAAUCCCUGGUUACUGGAUCUAUUGCCUGUCUCCCUUUUGCUUUGUUUCAGGCACUAUUAUUGCACUAUAUUAGUGCAGCAUGAUAUGCACAUGAUGAGUUAUACGUUGUAUUGCCAUAGAACAUUGCCUCUCUUAAGACACAACCAAAUGCAGUUGGAAACGAAAUGUGAAAAUAAUGGGCAUUUUCAAGGCCAUGGAUACAUGAUAACUGGAGAUGACGUCCACAUUCUAUAACACAGGGGGUGUGAGUCAAUAGUAAAUAUGUAUAGAUUUUAUUUUGUCAGAACUCGUUUUGUUUUUGGUCCAGUAUCUUUUGUGGUCUAUAUACUGUAGUUUGUUUGGUAUUGUCCCUCUCUAUGCCCGAAUGAAAUCGAACAGACGACUUAAAUGAGGACCAUUGAUUCUGUUCUUGCUUACAAUGAGAUAUUUCCAAUGGUUGAAAUGUGGUAAAUAUGAAACAUAGCCCAUAUGUACAUGGAAGAUAAAUGGGCAAAUGGAUUUUCUUAUUUUUUAGAUAACUUGUUUCGCAAAAAACAAAACCCUUCUAAAGCUAAAAUGAUGUGUGUGACUACUAUUGUAUUUGUAUCUGAUUUCUAAUGUCACGCAACUCUAACUUCUGCCUUAUUGUGUCAAUGAUCAGCUAUCUACAGUACCAUAUACAUUCAUGAAACCAACAUAUUUAAUAAUGGGUGCAGCACAGGUUUAAACUGUAUGUCAUUUAUUCAUGGGUGGAAUGACUGAUGAAUUUGGUGAUUGAUGAAUUUCGAUAGAAGUUAAACGAUACCAUUUUCUAGGACAAAAGGCUCUAGGAACAAAAGGCUCUCACAAUGACCCAUAUCAUAGGUGCCCUUAGACAUGUUAUGAUGAUGCAGUCGUUCUCCUGGCGUACAAUAUCACAUCAUAUAUUCUGUAUAUAUAUAUAUAUCGAGGUCAAUCUAAGCAGCCGUCAUUACAGUAUAUGAAUACAGAGGAAAUAUGACGCGGCUGUUCUACAGUGGCAGAAUUCGACCAGUCUGCCUGAUAGCUAGAAGAGCAGCGGAUGAGGAGAAUGUUAACUUUUUUCUUUGUCAGUUUUCCUUAUAAAUAUUUUUUGAAUUUUUGGAGAGAGAAAAAAAAAAGAUCAACAUAUGUGUACAUUUAUUUUGUAUUGCAUACAAAUGUUUAGUUUGAAUAUUGCAAAGUGGGUGGUUCUCUU